rnacentral:rRNA from 1 species
UACGGAGGGGUCAAGCGUUGUUCGGAAUUACUGGGCGUAAAGGGUUUGUAGGUGGCCAACUAAGUCAGAUGUGAAAUCCCUCGGCUUAACCGGGGAACUGCGUCUGAUACUGGAUGGCUUGAGUUUGGGAGAGGGACGCGGAAUUCCAGGUGUAGCGGUGAAAUGCGUAGAUAUCUGGAGGAACGCCGGUGGCGAAGGCAGGGUGCUGGAGCAGCACUGACACUGAGGAGCGAAAGCCAGGGGAGCAAACGGG